GGUGCACCCCGAUGGCAGCACCCAGCCCUGCGCAUCUGCUGCCGGCCCCGCGCCAGCUGCAGCGAGAGCGCUCGUCCCCAGCACGGCAAGGAUGGAAAAUGAAUCGGGACUGGGAGGUGAUGAGCCAGGGGAGGAAGUGGUGGGCAGCUUCGCCCUGGGUUGCAUGCUACUAAAUCCUGCAGCCAUCACAAACACCUCUGUGCUGACCUCGUGAUUCUCAGGACUCCACAAGCUGUAGGAAGAAACUUUUGUGAAUAAAGGCUACAUACUCUGGAAAAUCUGGAAGAGUUUCAUACAGGUGUGCAGUCUGUCUAAAUACUCUUUAACCAUUACGUAUCAUAUUUAAUGGGUGAUGGGAGAACAAUAGCACGUUCUACAAAAUAAUUACUGUAGUUACAGAGCAGAGAUCAUUCCACAUCAAACCCAUAAAGUUAUAAAAUAAUGUACAUAUAUCCUUAGUAUAUUUAGGUAUGACAUUACUGUUUUGAAGUCUGUUUAAUUCUCACACAUCCUUGUCUCUAAGCUCUGACUAGCGUGAAAUUAAUGUCUUUUUAGACCAUGGCAAGCUUUUCUUGCUGGUUUGAAAUCCAUGCUGCCUUUGCUGGUAGGGAUGCUCUUACCGCAGCCCCAGGGGGCUCCUGGAAAUCAAGCAAUACCGUUUUCUUCUGCAGGAGAAAGGAACCAGCUUGGAAGGGGUUAAGUGGCUGGAGACCAGAUGCAGCUGGGCCCUGUUAAUCUGCAGGGACCAGCUGCUUUGUAUAAAAAAGAAGACAAGAAACAGAGUGGCUAGGGCUGGGGGAAAGCUGGGGGUAUUGAAUUGCUUAUGUUCUGGGAAAGGGAGUGAGUGUUUGCAUUUCAGAUGCUCGGUGCUCUGGAAGAGCAAGAAGAGCUCUGUUGGUAUUUGGGUUUGGUUGGGGAUGCUGCUGUUGCUGAUAGUGACUGAGCCUGGGUACUGGCUUUUAGUGCUCAGGUGCUCCUGAAAUGAUGGCUUGCAGGGUAGAAGCCCAGAGUAACUGAGCAAGGCAGGUGUAACAGGCUGCAAACCGGCCUUGAUUUCAUUUGAAUGCUUUUGAAAGAUGGAAAAAGGUUAAUGGAAGCCUCACCACUUUCUGGAUUCCUGAUGCAAAAGCCAGGGUGACUCCUCUCUUAUUUAGAAGGUUCUCAAGCAAAGCAACUACUGUUUCUCAAACAUAAUGAAUUACUUCAUCUGCCCCCAUUGCAAGGAUUGUACCUGUGUAUGCUAUAUCCACAUCAUCCACUGCAGCACUUGCCUGUGACAAAUGGAGUGUAGGAAGAAAGCCCCUGAGUAGUUUUCACUAUAUCUUUUAAGUAUUAAUUCUGAGCAAGUUCUCUGUCUGUCUUACUGUAGCUGCUUUGAAUGAAAUCUAGGCAGAAGUUGAAUUGCAUAAUACUAUGUACAGAGCUAUUGAAAUGUA
ensembl:lncRNA